UAUUUCUCUCUCUUUCCUUCCUCCAUCUUCUCCUCAGAUGUGUUGCAGCUCUGCGGGUUAAUCUGAACUUUUUGUUAAGUCUAGUAGAUCUUAGUUUACUUUAGUGCUCUCACAAAGAACACGUGAAUCUAAGUGUAGAUUUUAUUCUGAGUAGAAACAGCUCAGUUUAUUUCCCGCCAGGCCUCAGGCCGCCACGUGGAGAGGACGACACGAUGGAGACCAGAGAAAAGAUGUGGAAGUCAUGGUGGCAGCUCCCUGUGAGUGUCAACCAACCCUCUUGAUGAAGUCACCAUGAUGUCUCCAGUAGGAGAUCAGAAUGUGCCCCUUCGAGAUCCUGGAAGCUAAAAGCCGGAGCUUCCAUGAGAUGUGAAGCAGGACGAUGCUCCUGCUGUUUGCUGCAGUGGGUUCGGUUGAUGUCCUGAAAAGAAUUCUUCCAGAAGUCUAUCUGCUCCAUCACCCUGAGAUCUUUCGUCUCCUCGGCCUGACGUCUGCAGUGCAGCAAAUGUGACAGGUUCAAUUGGUGUCCUGAAAGAUUCCCUGGAAAGGAAUUCAGCUAAAGGUCCAUCUGCCUUCAGAUCUUGUUUAGUUGGGGCCCUGACAGAUUCCCAGGAAAGGGAUUAAUCCGAAGUUGUGGCCCUGCUCCAUCACCUUGAGACCUUAUCACAGAAUCAUGGAAACUUGUCUGAAGAAGAACGUGUUGGUUCAAAUGUAUUUCACUCUUUUAAAAUGCUUUAUUAAAAAACUUGUAUAAAA